GCACCGGCUAAUACGUGCCAGCAGCCGCGGUAAUACGUAGGGUGCGAGCGUUGUCCGGAAUUACUGGGCGUAAAGAGCUCGUAGGUGGUUUGUCGCGUCGUCUGUGAAAUUCCGGGGCUUAACUCCGGGCGUGCAGGCGAUACGGGCAUAACUUGAGUACUGUAGGGGAGACUGGAAUUCCUGGUGUAGCGGUGAAAUGCGCAGAUAUCAGGAGGAACACCGGUGGCGAAGGCGGGUCUCUGGGCAGUAACUGACGCUGAGGAGCGAAAGCAUGGGGAGCGAACAGGAUUAGAUACCCUGGUAGUCCAUGCCGUAAACGGUGGGCGCUAGGUGUGGGUUUCCUUCCACGGGAUCCGUGCCGUAGCUAACGCAUUAAGCGCCCCGCCUGGGGAGUACGGCCGCA
rnacentral:rRNA from 1 species